GAGCAUAUGAUGUUACAAGGAGAUGGUACUGAGAUUUACGUUGUUGAAGUAUCUUAAACCGAGCUUUUUAAAACUGAUUCUUG
rnacentral:snoRNA from 1 species